GGGAAAUGAUGAUUUGUAUUAUAUUUGCUACUUCAGAGGGCUUGCCCGAUGAGACAACACUAUCCACCAAGAUCUCUGAUCCC
rnacentral:snoRNA from 1 species